GCCAUGGCGGCGGGGAGGGGUCAGAUGGGGGAGUCACAGUCACAGGAUCGGUUCCACUAAUGGCAGUCUCUGGUGCAGAGAGAGUGGAAGCAGUUCUUGGUCGGGUGCUACAGCUGCAGAGCUCUUCACUUACCGGGGGAAGAUGUGUAGGCUCUGAAGUGCAGCAUUUGAUGGCCUCAAGUUGGGUAACUAUGAAACCAAGUCAUACAGGAAGAAAAUACAUGAGGACCACAUCACGGCCAAGAUCCCAAGAAGUAGAGAGAGGAACACCUUCCACUGUCCCAGGCUGGUCCAAGCCCCAUCCAGUCUGGUCUGGAACAUUCCCAGGGAUCCAGGGGCAGCUACAGCUUUUCUGGGCAACCUGUGCCAGGGCCUCACCAACCUCACAGGUAAGAAUUUCUCCCUAACAUUGCAUCUCAAGCUACUGUGUAAAGCUAUUCCCCUUUGUCCUGUCAACUCCGUCCCUCAUCCAAAGUCCCUCUCCAGUUCUCCUGCAGCUCCUUUAGGCACUGACAGGUGUUCUAAGGUCUCCUCAGAGCCUUUUCUUCUCCAGGCUGAACAACCCCAACUGUCUCAGCCUCUACAAGCACUGCAGUAGAAGACUGGGGUGCACCUUUCUGCCUCUUGUCUUGGACGCCCUUGGAGGUCCCAGUGAAGGGCUCACCAGUACAGUCUGCUGGGACCAGUCCUCUCUCCCCUGGGCUUCAGCACCCUCCAGGAAGCCAAAGUUUGAAAACCACAAGGAGGUAAGCCAAGAGCCUCCUGUGGCACCGGAUUCUGUAUUUGCCACUUUGCUGAAGGGAGCCUGGGAGAGAGGAAGCAGUACCUUCCUGGAGGAUGGUGUUCAGAAAAGUGGAGAGACUUGGCUUCCUGGCUCCCCCCACCUGAGCAGCUUUUGUUGGGAGUAAAGCAAGUGCUGCUGUACCCGAAAUCCACAGUGGAGAACUUGAGCAGCAUAAGAGCAGCGUUGUAAUAAUACUGUAGUUAUGCUUGGUUUAUGUUAUGGUAGAAGAUACAAAUGACUUGGCUGCUAAAACUUAGGUUCCAGUGCUGUAGCUCUUUUUUCUCUACUCGGCUCCGAGGGUACGCAGCACCGUACAAAACUGCACCUAAUUUGUAAACAAAUGUCAAUUGUUCUGAUUAUUGAAGCUGGGCUUUAUUCAGUUGAAUCCCGACUGUGUACUGUGCCCAGGUCCUUUGUACAAAUAGCAUACGGGGCCUGGGGGAACCAGAACUGCACAUUCCUUGUGAUAUGUAUGGGAUUUUGGGGGGGUUAAAUAAAAAGGAGAU